rnacentral:lncRNA from 1 species
AUACAUAUAUAAUUUGAUUUUUAUUCCUUAAAUAUCUCAACUUAAUCGCUUGAAUUCAUCUGUAAAUUGAAUAGAUCAAAGUUGACCCUAUAUUCUCUCGCCAUCAUCGAAUUGAAUCAGUCAACAAGAGAUAUACGUUUCAUAGCCUCUCAUUAGUCAUCUCUCAAAGAACCCUUGCCGUUUCUUCUCUCGAAGGCAACAAUAUACAAGAAUCUACUCUCUUCAUCGCCUCUCACUACCAAGAAAAAACUGAUUGAACGAUGGUGACUGUGGCUAAAAAUAGUUAAAUCGGCUUCAAAACCAUUAUACAAAAAGCCCUAAAACAAACAUUCUUCCAUCGUCUAAUCGUCUCCCACUUCAGUUCUGAAGGACUCCCACUCGAAAGUACUUUUUUCUGAAGACCUUUGAAAGAUCCAAUUUUCUUUUAUCUAAUUCAAGGUAACUUCAUACUACUAGAUGUUUCUCACUUCCAUCCGCUUUUUUUCCCUGUCAAAAAAUUCUGUUUUUUUACUAUGUUUCAGGAUCUGAGAUGUCACUUUUCCAAGGUAAAAGACUUCCCCAAUCUUUCUUUGUGGAUUUUUAUUGGUUGAUUUAUGUGUGUAACCGAUUUUGUGUGCUAAAUUUUGUAGGAAGAUUCAAAAAUCAGAAAAGGAAGAAGCUGAAACAUGAGUUUAUUCAAGCUUCAUAUUUCCAGGUUUGUGUAAUUGAUGAAAGAUAUGGAUUUAUGUUUAAUUUUUUUUAAUAAUGGCUAGCAUUUUGUGAUUUAGUCACCCUGAUUUAUUAAAGUACUUGCUUUCUGGUGUCUUGUAGGGCAUAGAGAAACAGUUUGAAUAUGGAUUCGAAAAUCAACUACCUACAUUUGUUUUGCAUCUAAUCCAUCUGCUAGGUUUCUUUCAGAAAAUGGAUAAAAUAAGGCAAAAGGAUAUAUAUUUGUUUUAUUUGUUUAUUAGUUAGUGCUGAAGUUUCUCAGAUUUUCCAAGAACUUUUUGCAUUGAUAGUAUCUGUUUAACUCUAUAUGUGUAUGUGAUUGAACUUUGUUUGUGUGAAAUUUCUUGUAAGGAUUUAAAUAUGUGUUUUUUGAUGACUUUUUGUAGGAGAAAAUCAAAUCUUGGAUCAUUGUUUUGCUAUCUGGAACACACAAGGUAUCUUUCACUAAGCACUCAUAUUUAACAUAAACAUAACUAACUGAUUUAAGUAAAUCUCGAUUUUUUUUUUCACAAUCAUUUUUAAAAUAUCUAAUUUUGGUUGAAUUGUGUUUUUAACUGUUUAUGGAGUUUAGAGCAUAAUGGUCUAGGAAGAUGUGUAGCCCGUGAAAGAUCCUGCUCAAGCUUGUGGAUAGACCUACUGAAAGUCACAAUCCUUAAAAGAAAAUUGGUUUAUUUUUUUCAGCCUUUUGUUUGCAUGUUGACUCACCAGCUGCCAUGGGAUUCACAUUGUAGCUUGAGAUUUAGAUGUUUAUGUUGAUUUUCGNUAUGAUAUGAUGAAAUGUAUCAAGUUUCAAGAGUUGGGCCGAAUUAAAGUGUUUUUUUUAAG